GCCGGGGUGGUCUAGUGGUUAUGACGUCUGCCUUACACACAGAAGAUCGCGAGUUCAAUCCUCGCUCCUGGUA
rfam:Perkinsus marinus ATCC 50983 gcontig_1104296706028, whole genome shotgun sequence.